rnacentral:rRNA from 1 species
GGAGGCAGCAGUGGGGAAUUUUGCCGCAAUGGGCGAAAGCCUGACGCAGCGACGCCGCGUGGAGGAUGAAGGUUUUCGGAUUGUAAACUCCUGUCAGAGGUGAAGAAAGCCCUUAUGGGUCUGACGGUAACCUCAGAGGAAGCCCCGGCUAACUACGUGCCAGCAGCCGCGGUAAUACGUAGGGGGCAAACGUUGCUCGGAAUUACUGGGCGUAAAGGGUGCGCAUGUGGCUGAGAAAGUCGUUGAUGAAAUCCCGGGGCUUACCCCCGGAACUGUCUUCGAUACUUCUCAGCUUGAGGAUAGUCGAGGAGAACGGAAUUCCCGGUGGAGCGGUGAAAUGCGUAGAUAUCGGGAGGAACACCAGAGACGAAGGCGGUUCUCUAGGCUAAUCCUGACACUGAGGUACGAAAGCUAGGGGAGCGAACGGGAUUAGAUACCCCGGUAGUCCUAGCUGUAAACGAUGGGCACUAGAUGUUUCCGCGUCUCAGCGGGAGUGUCGAAGUUAACGCGAUAAGUGCCCCGCCUGGGGAUUACGUUCGCAAGGCUGAAACUCAAAGGAAUUGACGGGGGCCCGCACAAGCGGUGGAGCAUGUGGUUUAAUUCGACGCAACGCGAAGAACCUUACCUGGGCUUGAACUGCUGGGUUUAGCUUCCUGAAAGGGAAGUGAACCUGCUUGCAGGAGACCAGCAGAGGUGCUGCAUGGC